GACGAACGCUGGCGGCGUGCCUAACACAUGCAAGUCGAACGGAGUAAGGCCCUUCGGGACCUUACUUAGUGGCGAACGGGUGAGUAAAGCGUGAGGAACCUGCCUUUCAGUGGGGGACAACAGUUGGAAACGAACGCGAAUACCGAAUAAUGCUUUGGCGUGGUAUCACUUAAAAGUCAAAGAUUUAUUGCUGAAAGAUGGCCUCCCGUCUGAUUAGCUGGUUGGCGGGGUAACGGCCAACCAAGGCGACGAUCAGUAGCCGGUCUGAGAGGAUGAACGGCCACAUUGGGACUGAGAUACGGCCCAGACUCCUACGGGAGGCAGCAGUGGGGAAUAUUGGGCAAUGGGGGAAACCCUGACCCAGCAACGCCGCGUGAAGGAAGAAGGCCUUCGGGUUGUAAACUUCUUUUACCAGGGGCGAAAGAAAUGACGGUACCUGGAGAAAAAGCAACGGCUAACUACGUGCCAGCAGCCGCGGUAAAAC
rnacentral:rRNA from 1 species